rnacentral:rRNA from 1 species
UACGUAGGUGGCGAGCGUUACUCGGAAUCACUGGGCAUAAAGGGCGUGUAGGCGGAUGCGCAAGUCAGUUGUGAAAGCCCCCGGCUCAACCGGGGAAGGCCAAUUGAAACUGCGUGUCUUGAGUGCGGUAGGGGAGAGUGGAACUCUUGGUGGAGCGGUGAUAUGCGUAGAUAUCAAGAGGAACGCCGGCGGCGAAAGCGACUCUCUGGGCCGUAACUGACGCUGAGGCGCGAAAGCUAGGGGAGCGAACGGGAUUAGAUACCCGCGUA